CCUACGGGAGGCAGCAGUGGGGAAUAUUGCACAAUGGGGGAAACCCUGAUGCAGCGACGCCGCGUGAGCGAUGAAGUAUUUCUGUAUGUAAAGCUCUAUCAGCAGGGAAGAAAAUGACGGUACCUGACUAAGAAACCCCGGCUAACUACGUGCCAGCCGCCGCGGUCAUACGUAGGGGGCAAGCGUUAUCCGGAUUUACUGGGUGUAAAGGGAGCGUAGACGGUCCUGCAAGCCAGAUGUGAAAGCCCGGGGCUCAACCCCGGGACUGCAUUUGUAACUGUAAGGCUAGAGUGUCGGAGAGGCAGGCGGAAUUCCUAGUGUAGCGGUGAAAUGCGGAGAUAUUAGGAGGAACACCAGUGGCGAAGGCGGCCUGCUGGACGAUGACUGACGUUGAGACUCGAAAGCGUGGGGAGCAAACAGGAUUAGAUACCCUAGUAGUC
rnacentral:rRNA from 1 species